rnacentral:RNase_P_RNA from 1 species
GAGGAAAGUCCGGGCUCCACAGGACAGAGUGGUCGCUAACGGCGACCGGCCGCAAGGCUCGGGAAAGUGCAACAGAAAGACACCGCCUCCGCGAGCCCGUCUCGCGGCGGUAAGGGUGAAAUGGUGCGGUAAGAGCGCACCAGCGGCGGGGUGACUCGCCGGCUCGGCAAACCCCACUCGGAGCAAGACCAAGCAGAGAGGAGCUGCCUGCCACAAGGCGGCGGCACGGUUCGGUCCGGACCGUCGUUACUCUCGGGUAGGUCGCUGGAGGCGGCGAGCAAUCGCCGUCCUAGAGAAAUGACCAUCGCCGCCCCAGGGGCUGGCACAGAACCCGGCUUA